UACAGAGGUCCCGAGCGUUGUUCGGAUUCACUGGGCGUAAAGGGUGCGUAGGUGGCGAUGGAAGUUUGAUGUGAAAUCUCCGGGCUUAACCCGGAAAUGGCAUUGAAUACUCUAGCGCUUGAGGUUUGGAGGGGGGGACUGGAAUUCUCGGUGUAGCAGUGAAAUGCGUAGAUAUCGAGAGGAACACCAGUGGCGAAGGCGGGGUCCCUGGACAAGCAC
rnacentral:rRNA from 1 species